ensembl:processed_transcript
ACCACAAUCAGAACAAUGGAUCGCAGGGAGCAAGCGUCUGAUACAAUUGUGCUGUUGCAGCCUCAGCCUCCACCUGUAUAUUAUCCACCCAAUCUAGGCCCUUCAGUCCAGCAGGGCCCCUACAAUCAAGGGCUACUUCCAGGACAAGCUGUCGUCUCAGUGCAGACUGCAGGCUUUGUUCCUGCCGCACCAGUGCCGGAUCACUUGUGUUACUCCAUCUUCACCAUUCUUUGCUGUCACUUGAGCUUUCUGGGCAUCGCAGCGCUGGUAUUUUCCCUCUCUACUCGAAAUGCCAAUGAUGCUGGACACAGAGCAUUAGCAGAGAGGAACUCCAAAACGGCACUCACCCUGAAUAAUAUCGCCUGUGGUCUUGGCAUUGCUUUUUAUGCAUUGCUUUUCGGUCUGUUGUUGUUAAUUUGAAGCCAACAAAUGUAUAUUCAUAACUGAGCUGCUGUCUUAGCUGAUUGCUGGUUACAGGCAAACCUGGUUCUCUUCAUUUUAAAUGUUAAUAUGUCAAGAUUCACUCAGAUAAAACACAUGUUUUAAGGUGAACUGUUUCACAUUUACAACAAAUAAAAGCUUAAACUGACCAAGUGCAGUUAUGUACAUAACCCUUCAG